GAACGCUUCUUACCUUCCGUCCCAUAAUCAACUGUCUUCUUUGAACAAUAGAUUGUGAAUAAUUUCACAUCCCGGAACAUUCUCUCUCCAGGCAUGAUUUUCGUGGCUGCAAAACAGCGGCUUCUCCAUCAUUACGCAACUGGCCUCUCUGAUCGUUUCCAGAUUGCUCUCGGCCAUGCACCUCCUUGUCUAAACUCCGUUCUGCACCACCAGCAGUAUCAUGGCCUGGGGAGAAGGGGCUGUGUGCUCCAUUCCAGGAUCAAGACUUUGUAGAAAUCAUGUUUUCUAGAUGGUUGUGGGCUGUUGUCAGCAGAAGGACUCAAGGCAAUUAACAUACAGCUAAUGAACUCCAAAGAGGCGCUUUGAUUUUUGAAGAAUCUGACUUGAGAACAAAUCAAGACUAAGACUAAUAUAGCCUCAUCUUUCAACAUAGGAGAGUCGGAAAACAGGCUGAGUCUGCGACACCCAAAUGCCUGCCACCACCACAUCCCGGAAGCUCAUGAACAGAUAAAACUAAAUUACUGUGACAGAGGUCAAAAUAGUAGUUACCUCUGGAGUGGGGGUAACCCGGAGGGAGCCUCCUGAAUUGAUGGAGAUGUCCUACAUCUUGAGCUUUGUGGUGGUCCCUUGGGUCUACGCUCCAUGCUGAAGAUCUGUGCCCUUGAUGAAAUGUCAAUUAUUCCUCAAUUUUAAAAGAAAACCUUAAUUUGUAAAAUUGUCAUGGCAAAAGUUACCGGGUGAACAAUUCAGACAAUGGAGUGGAUGAAGAUUCUUCCCCCUUCCCUCCAGACACUACUGUUCCCCCAACUGGCUCUCUGUGCUUACGCCAGCCUCAUGUAGCUCUCUAACCAUGUGAGCUGGCAGCACGUGGCUGCUCGGAACUCCUGCAGGCUGGAAUUCCUGCCCCACCCUGGCCAAAGCUAAACAACUUUUAAAACUGGCUGGCAGCCUGGGAUUUUAAACUGCCUUCCUGCCUGAUCCACUUCCCUUUAGCACAUCCAGGAAGAAAGUUAUAGCUUCUCUUGCUGGGGGGAAGGGAGAUGAGACACCUCUGCCCCAUCCCCCUGAACUUUCCAGGGCAGAGGGGGUCCCGAGUCAGAAACUGAGAGGCAAGCCCACAGCACCCCCUUUCCCAGGCCCAGGCCCAGGCUCCUGCUUCCUCAGCAGAGAUGUCAGCACCAGAGCCUUUUCUUGGGGAAGAGGUGUCUCCUGGCUUGACCAAUGCCCGCAUCUCUCCCACAAAAUGAGCUGAAUACCUGUUGGGUGGGCUUAGGAGACAUUAUAUCUAAAAGUGUCUAGAGCAUACUAAUUGUCCCAUGGCUGCAACUAAGACUCUGAUGGUGAGUUACAAUGGGGACAGAUGUGGCCACGGACAUCAGCACCUGGCACAAAGCCUGGGCAUUGUAGACACUCAGCCCAUGUUUCCUCCUCAUCACGUGGCCUGAUCCCGGAGUGGGAAGAGGACGCUCACAGCAGAAGUGAGGCUGCCCAGCCCCACCCGCCUGGGGGCUCUGGGACUAAGAUGGGAGGUAAGGGGGGAUGGGAUACUCCUGGGAAGGCUGGGAUAGCUGCUCUGCUUACAUCUUGUGUGUGCCCUGGGGCAAGUGAGUGCCUUCUGUGAGCUUCUGAAGCUGCUUUCGUCUGUGAAACCAGGAGGGAGGGUGGCUUCACAAGACUCCCUAAGCACUUAGGGUGGAGCAGGCAUGCCAGCAUGAUGGCGCCCGGGGCCCAUCCUCUCCCCUCCUCCAUCUCCCUUUCUCAGGGAUCUGCACAGCUGUUUCCCCUUUUCUGGGCAAAUCCUCUCACCAAAUAAACAUUUGCCUUUCUAUCGCUGCCUGCUAGGUGGAGGGGACUUCUGAACCCUUGAGGUCCCUUCCCUCCCUGAGCACAGCCCAGCCCCAAGACCAAAACCACACCCCAAUA
rnacentral:lncRNA from 10 species